UGUCUUGUCCCCUUUAAUAAGAUCCUGCUGGUUUUUAUUGGUCUAAUAUAAUUGGUAUUACAGUCUGACCCACUGGGCACCAGGAAGCGGAGG